rnacentral:rRNA from 1 species
GAUGAACGCUGGCGGCGUGCCUAAUACAUGCAAGUCGAGCGAACAGACGAGGAGCUUGCUCCUCUGACGUUAGCGGCGGACGGGUGAGUAACACGUGGAUAACCUACCUAUAAGACUGGGAUAACUUCGGGAAACCGGAGCUAAUACCGGAUAAUAUAUUGAACCGCAUGGUUCAAUAGUGAAAGACGGUUUUGCUGUCACUUAUAGAUGGAUCCGCGCCGCAUUAGCUAGUUGGUAAGGUAACGGCUUACCAAGGCGACGAUGCGUAGCCGACCUGAGAGGGUGAUCGGCUACACUGGAACUGAGACACGGUCCAGACUCCUACGGGAGGCAGCAGUAGGGAAUCUUCCGCAAUGGGCGAGAGCCUGACGGAGCAACGCCGCGUGAGUGAUGAAGGUCUUCGGAUCGUAAAACUCUGUUAUUAGGGAAGAACAAAUGUGUAAGUAACUAUGCACGUCUUGACGGUACCUAAUCAGAAAGCCACGGCUAACUACGUG